UAAAUAAACACAAUACAUUUUUAUAAACAAGUAAUAAAAAGAAAAUGAUUAAAGGUGCAGUGUGUGAAUUUUAGCGGCAUCUAGCGGUGAGGUUGCGAAUUGCAACCAACGGCUCAGUCCACCGCUUACCCUUCCCUUUCAAAGCACAUAGAGAAGCUACGGUGGUCCACACAGGACAAAGAUGACAUUGUCUUAGACAGCAGAGAGUAGCCAGUAAAGCAAACGCGCUCUGUAGAGCAGUUUGUCCGUUUAGGGCUACUGUAGAAACAUGGCAGUGCAAAAUGGCAAAUUCAAUGCAAGGGGACCUGCAGUGUAUGUAGAUAGAAAUGGCUCAUUAUGAGAUUUUCAGAGUGUGUCCUCUACAUGUUCCCAUUUUGGACGGCCAGUUCUUCCUGUUGUGAUCUAUAGAGAGUGUUUCAAAUGCUCCAAAAGUUUUGCUUCUCGUAUCUCAGUAUGUGGGUCUAAGACGAAUCACGAGUCAUCGUGUGCAGAGUUACAGUCACAAGCCUCUGCUGGACUGAAAUCAUUAAUAAUGGUGGAAAUAAUUAAUCAGUUUUACAAUGGCAACAUCCAUGAGCAUCAGAGCAUGUUUUGAAAUUCUACUCCAAAGUGACAUGAAGACAGUAUGAUGUGAAAAGGAUUUUUUUUUACUUUUAAUAAUUUUUUUAUUGUUGUUCUUAAAUAAUAUAAACAAUAGACUAAAAAAUAAUUGUAUCAUAUCUGUUGUUAAAUACCAUUAUUUUU